rnacentral:rRNA from 1 species
CCUACGGGGGCAGCAGUGAGGAAUAUUGGUCAAUGGACGAGAGUCUGAACCAGCCAAGUAGCGUGAAGGAUGACUGCCCUAUGGGUUGUAAACUUCUUUUAUAAAGGAAUAAGACGACGCACGUGUGCCUUUUUGCAUGUACUGUAUGAGUAAGAAGAGGCUAACUCUGUGCCAGCAGCCGCGGUAAUACGGAGGAUCAGAGCGUUAGCCGGAUUUGUUGGGUUUAAAGGGAACGUAGAUGGGUUGUUAAGUCAGUUGUGAAAGUUUGCGGCUGAACCGUAAAAUUGCAAUUGAUACUGGACGUCUUGAGUACAGUUGAGGUAAGCAGAAUUCGUGGUGUAGCGGUGAAAUGCGUAGAUA